rnacentral:rRNA from 1 species
GGCUUAUUGGUUAUAAUUUUAAGUUUUGGUCUGCCCAAUGAUGAGUUAAAUGGCCGCGGUAAAUUGACUGUGCAAAGGUAGCAUAAUCACUAGUUUUUUAAUUGGAAGCUUGAAUGAAAGGCUUGAUGAAAAAAUUUCUGUCUCUGUCUAAAUUUAUUAGAAGUUUAUUUUUAAGUUAAAAAGCUUAAAUUUGCGUUGAAGACGAGAAGACCCUAUAGAGUUUAAUAUUUGUGGGGAUAGUGGAUUUUUUAGUAUUGGUGUGUCAUUAUCUGUAUGAGUAUUUGGUUGGGGUGAUUUAAAAAUUUGAUAAACUUUUUUUUAAGUGUUACAUUGAUUUAUGGGUAAAUGAUCCUUAAUUAGAGAUUGAAAGAGCAAAUUACCUUAGGGAUAACAGCGUAAUUUUUCUUAGAGUUCUUAUCGAAAGAAAAGUUUGCGACCUCGAUGUUGGAUUAAAAAAAAAUGUUGGCGCAGGAGUUAGCAAGUUAGGUCUGUUCGACCUUUAGAUUUUUACAUGAUCUGAGUUUAGACCGGUGUGAG